rnacentral:rRNA from 1 species
UACGGAGGGGGCUAGCGUUGUUCGGAAUUACUGGGCGUAAAGCGCGCGCAGGCGGUCCUUUAAGUCUGAUGUGAAAGCCCACGGCUCAACCGUGGAGGGUCAUUGGAAACUGGGGGGACUUGAGUACAGAAGAGAAGAGUGGAAUUCCACGUGUAGCGGUGAAAUGCGUAGAGAUGUGGAGGAACACCAGUGGCGAAGGCGACUCUUUGGUCUGUAACUGACGCUGAGGCGCGAAAGCGUGGGGAGCAAACAGG